GAUUCCAAACGAUCCGCCCACAAUCAGGUAGAUGGGGAUCAUGCGCUCGGCUGGGCAGUCAUUCUUAAUUCUGUGUAUAGCACCUGAAAUGAGUCGGUUUUAUUGAAUACUUUAACAUGAUACAUCCUCUUUUUUAUAGAUACAGAUGGAGCAGUUGUUCUUGUUUAUAGCACCUGAAAUCGAUCAGAAGUCCACAUUCCCGCCAGAAGACUGUUUGGCAGCCGUCACUUUCCCGUACAUCGAGUCACGAUAUGAAGGGGGAGGUGCUGUCAAAACAAGGCAGUGAUUUCGCUUGUACCUAAUAUUUUACAGCCUUUACCAUUUGGAUUGGGACAAAUUGCGCAAUAAACCAUGCUUAUCGGAAAAAAUGAAACAUUAUUAAUAUGAUUAUAUAUAAUAGUAUGCCAAUUGUUUAUAAGUACAUGUUUAAUAGCAUUUUUGAAUUAAUAUUAUAACAUGAGUUUAUUGGAAACGUUUGGCAUUUAAUUGGGGCAAAUAUUGGGUAGAUUUUAGGGACAAAAGGUUUAUUUCUGCCAAUGGGAAACAACCCGUAAGAGGCUGUUAUUAUUGCCACAAAAAUUACAGUAAGGGAAUAGAGUUGUGACCUGUAUUUAGAAGGCGGUAUAACAGAGAAAAAAACUUUGAAGUUAUGAUUAAAUAAACAAAUAAAUAAAUAUAAAUAUAUAAAUAUAUAUAAAUAAUAUACUUGAUGGAUGCGAAUUCUAACCUAAUAAACUUAAAUACAAACAUUAA